rnacentral:tRNA from 1 species
AGCCUAAUACAGGCCCUUUAACACA